rnacentral:rRNA from 1 species
GGGACACGUGGUAUCCUGUCUGAAUAUGGGGGGACCAUCCUCCAAGGCUAAAUACUCCUGACUGACCGAUAGUGAACCAGUACCGUGAGGGAAAGGCGAAAAGAACCCCGGCGAGGGGAGUGAAAAAGAACCUGAAACCGUGUACGUACAAGCAGUGGGAGCCUCUUAAUGGGGUGACUGCGUACCUUUUGUAUAAUGGGUCAGCGACUUAUAUUCUGUAGCAAGGUUAACCGAAUAGGGGAGCCGAAGGGAAACCGAGUCUUAACUGGGCGUUAAGUUGCAGGGUAUAGACCCGAAACCCGGUGAUCUAGCCAUGGGCAGGUUGAAGGUUGGGUAACACUAACUGGAGGACCGAACCGACUAAUGUUGAAAAAUUAGCGGAUGACUUGUGGCUGGGGGUGAAAGGCCAAUCAAACCGGGAGAUAGCUGGUUCUCCCCGA